UUUUUUUUUCCCCCCGGUACUGGCAGUCGAAUUCAUGACCUUGCGCUUGCCAGCCAAGUGUUUAUGCCCCUGAGCUAAGUCCCUGGCCCCAACUCCUUCUCUUUGUGGCUAAGAAAUAUCACAGGGAACAUUUGUACCAUCCCCAUCUUUUGUUUGGUCUUUUUGAGACAGAGUUUUGCUAUGCAGUUCAGGCUGGCCUUAGGCACACUUUGUAGCUCAGGCUGGUCUUGAACUUGCAAGGAUCCUCCUGCCUCAGCCUCCUGAGUUCUGGGAUUACAGGCAUGUGACACCACGCCCGGCUGUACCCUUAAAGUGUAAAUAUUAAAUGUGGUAAAGCAUAGAACUUUCUAGAGCAUGGUGUGUAGUGAGUGCUUGAAAUUGUGUCGCCUUUUCAUCGUCGCCAUGCUCACGCCUCUGUUCCCUGUGCUCCUUCUCUGUGGCUUGGUACUUCCCUUGUUUCUUCAUUGUCUUCCUCUGACAUGCUCCACCCCAGCGGGGUGCUUCCUCACAUCACGCUUGGCUGGCCAUUCAGAAUAGUUGUGGCCCUAAGUUUGCCAGAGAGCAAUGUGAUGCCUCUCAGCACACUGGAGUCAGGGUGGAGGCAGAGCUGCUGGGACUCAGGGGCUGAGACAAGGCCACACUAACAGAAUCCUGGAAGGGUUCCUGUGUGCAAGGUGUGUCUGCUUUAAGGUGCCCUUGGGAGGCCCUGUUGGCCCACAUCGCUGGGGGGCAGAAUGGAGAAGGACCCCCCUGGCGGAGCCCUCGGUGUGGUUCCCCCGAGGGUGGGCUGGGUUGCUGCACCAAGCAACCUUUCAGAGCUCCCACAGGGAAGCCUGGGCUGGGAGGAGAGCACCACGGCUGCUGUGGGAUGCUCUGCGCCCGUGAGUUGGGGGCAUAGAGCUGAGCCCCGCUGUUUCCGCAGCCAGCGUCCCUUGUCGCCGGGUGCCUGGGCACUGCUACUGGGCCCCUUCUUGCUUUAUUUACAGGAUGGCUGUUCUUGGCAGCUCUCUCCACCUCCCAGACUUUUCCUCUGCUUUGGAGCAUUUGACUCUAUUUUUACUCAGAAAGAGGAAAGCUCCCCUGUUUGAAAAUAGCUGUCAUGGAGAGGACCUCUGUACCCACUGCUCUUGCUUGCUUGGCAGUGGUCCUGUGUACACUGUGCACAGGGCACAGGCAGGAUGCACAAGCACAGCCUGUGACAUGUCCCCCCCACCAUAUCUGGGAAGUAAAAGCCCCUCUUCCUGGAUUGUGACCGAAUGGGGAUGACGGAGCUGUAGCUGGCUCCCUCCCUUGGAGAAGCUUCUGGGCUGUAGGAGGUAAGGAGAAGAGUUCCACAUGGAUGGCGGCCGGAGGCUGGGAGAGCCACGGAGGCAGCCUCUCCAUCCCGAUCCGUGUCACCCCCGUCUUCCCAGCCACCGUGAGCCUUCUUUCUCUGACGUUCUGCCACUAUCCAGAGGCGGGUUCCUUGGUCCUGACGCAGACCGUCAAACCAGCUCCUUCGCUGAAUUCCAGGUGCAGCCCAGGUGUUGCUGCCCCCAGUUUCCUACGAGAGACCAGUUUAGGUCUGUGACAGCUCUUGCUGCAGGGAGCUGGGAAAGAGGGUUGAUGCCCUUGUCUUGAGGCAAAGAAUGUAAGUGGGGAGAUGCAGGGAGCAGGGGGUGUCCUUCCUUUCUCCCGGGGUGUGUCCAGAGCAGGUCUGGAGACUCUCGGGUGAAAAGAUGCAGCACCUCGGUCAGGGUUAAGUUUGUAGGUGUUGGCGCUGGCAACAUGUGAAAACCCCAACAAAGGAAAAGGAAAGUGUGUUUGUGUGUGACAUGCAGUUCCUUGGUGGGCUGGGAAAACCAAGAGAGGGCGUGCUGAGCUGUGUGGCCAGCCUGGGCGGGGUGCGCCCUCGAGGUAGAGCUUCAAAUCCGGGCAGCGGGAACCCUGGCUGUGAGGGAGAGAUGGAUGCCGCCUGCCACCAAGCAUUCUCCUUGUGCGCUGGGGCCCUGGCCGUGCAGCUGCUGGGGCCGGAACUGCCGGUAACCUCUGGUUUUCAUAAUCGACAUGAGCACCCCUGAAACGCGCCUGGUGUUGGUGAGGCUGGGGGAAUCGGGGCCCCCCAGAUGGCCAUGUGGCAGGUACUGUGCCAACGAGGAGGGAAGGGUAUAUCCUGGGACAUGGGACCCACCGGUCUGGGGCCACAUCUCCUCUUUAUUUUACAGGUGGAGAGCUCAGCCUGAGUUCUCCCAGCUAUCAGGUGGGGAGCUAGGAUUUGUAACUGGGGGUAAAUGAGUAAGGUGGGUAACUUGUUGCCGGGGCCUUGAAAGCGGUGGCGGUGGAAGGGAGAUGGGGAAUGACAUUAAGGGAGAUGGGGUGUCAUAGCUUGUGUUUAGAUAUCACCCCCCAAGCCUCAUGCAGUCUUGGUGGGAUGUUUUCAGAGCUAGCUGUGUCUACAGUGUGUGACGCUGGAUUAAGGAAGUGUGAUUACUAAAUCAGUCCAGUGCGUGGUUUGGCACUGCCCUAACCCCAGGAGCUUAGACAGAGUAUAAAAGGGGCAGAAGAAAAUUGCUAAGUGUCCUUGUUGCUUGGCUACCUUUGGCCAGCCAUGAACUGUUCUCUUCUGUGAUGCCGCUGGGCCGUGUGCCACCCUGUCUUGGAGCCAGCCAGUUAUGGACUGAAACCUCUAUAAACUGUGAGCUAAAUAAACUUCUUCUCCUUUAACUUUUGGUAUUGGGUAUUUUGUCUCAGCAAUGAAAAAGGAACUAAGACAUAGGAUUUCUUCUAGGAAUGAUCAAAAUGUCCAAAAGUUCACCAUGGCGAUGGUUGACCCUCUGUGAUUAUACUGAAAACCACUGAAAUGUAUACUUUAAAUAGGUGAAUUAUAUGGUAUGUAAAUUAUAUCUCAAUAAAGUUGUAUUGAAAAUACAAAUUUCAUUGAAUCUAAAAACAAAGUUAGGGCUGUGUCUUGGUUGCUUUGCUCUUGUUUAGACAAAAUAGCUGACACUCAAAAUGAAGGAAGGGAAGGUUUAUUUAUAUCUUAGUUUUUGGAGGUUUCAGCCCAUAAUCAGCUGGCUCCAAUGCAGGGUGGCUGGCUAAGGGGCAACACUUCAAAGGAGCAGCCAGAGCAAAAGGGAAAGGGAACAAGAUCUUCUCCUGGUUUAUAUUGUACACAGCUCCCCUCUUCCUCCACAGGGGUGUAGCACUCAUAAACUCUCCUUGCCCUGGAGGAUGAGGAUAUUUACAAAGAAGAACCCUGGCUCCCUGCUGAGUCUCUCAGUUAACUACUCAAGUUGACACAAUGUAUCAACCGUAACAGACUGGGAAUAUAGCUCAGCAGAAUGGUGCUUGCCUGGGAAGCAUGAGGUCAUGAGUUCAAUUCCCAGUAUUUAAAUGAAAACGAUAAUAAAAAUAAAGUGAACAGAGGGUCUCUAUUCCAAACCUCAUGAUAAGGAAAAGGGAUGCCUGUCACACUCGCAUUUGUGCCCCACCCAAGAGGAGCUCAAGAGGUACAGUGGUUGUAGAACAGAACUGAGCAGUAUUAAUGUUUGUAAAGGAAGCAUGUGAGUGAAUACAUAAGGGUUUAGAUUUUAGCUAACGAGGCAGACUGAUUAAAUUUGAAUUGAGUCCUUGUCUUCUUCCCGUUUACCUGUGAAAGCUUCACAAUAGCUGGAUAUUUUCUGUUGUGCUCAGCUCCAUAUCCUGUCUGUAGGGGAGCUGAGUAGGUAGUCACUGAAUGAAUUCAAGCAACAGGGUCAUGUCUGUUUAAGAAAGCAAAGUUAGAGUGAUGAACUAUUUCUCCAGAGCGGGGAAGAGGGAGGAAAGUGCUUAUUCCAUGUUGCUGUUUUAUCAGAUCCUUUUUGCUUGUGCCAUUCCAGUUAUUUACAAGAACCCAAACUGCCUGUGCAGGGUAAACUGAGGCUUAGCCAUGGGUCACUUAUGUCCAGGAGUUCCUAAGUUAGCCAUCGUGGCACACACUUACAGUGCCAGCACUUGGAGGCUGAGGCAGGAGGAUUACAAGUGUGAGCUUACAAUUUAGUGAGACUACUACACAGCUGAGUGAGGCCUUGCCUCAAAAUAGAAAUAAAACGCUCUGGGGAUGCAGCUCAGUGCAAAGGGCCCGGGAUUCAGUAUACAUUACUAAAGGUGUGUGUGUGUGUGUGUGUGUGUGUGUGUGUGUAUGUGUGGUACUUCCUGAAUGAGCUCUUGGCCAUUCAUCCAGCUGCCAGCUGACCUGCUUUUAGCUUUGCUGCCCACCCAGGUCCUGCAUUUGCAGUUCACUUUGAGACCCGAAUCCAGGACUGUGAUCUGUCUACUGAUCUGCCCUGCCCAGUGUCCCUGCCAGUCCGUGUGGACUGGAAAUUAUUUUAGAAGCCAGUUUGCUUCUUGGAGCCUCUCCCUGUCUACUCUUCAUGGCUUGUUUCUAACCAAUAAGAUACAGCACAAAUAAUGGGCUGUCUCCUCCACGAUUAGGUUAUAAAUGACCUUGGCUUCUGUCUCAGCAGCUCUUCUGCUUUGGUGACUGUCAUGGAGCAGGGAGCCAUGUUGGGGAGGCCUACGUGAACUAGCAAAAGAGGCCUUCAACCCCUGACCGGCGCAGCCCCCCAAUGAGACAGAGGACGCUCUUGUGGGUAACAGCUGGUGGUGAAAGAAGCGUGCUUCAUUCAUAUCUUUUUGACCCCCUUUCACCACUCCCAGUGCCCGUUCCCACUUUCUCGGGCUGGAGAUGCCCGUGUGCCCGUUGGUGUAACAGCGCUCUACGCCGUAGCACAAGAGCUCACCAUGUCAGAUGAGAUGACUUGAUGCCGCUCCUCAGAUGUCCCCCAGGCAUUUCCGGGAAUGCCCAGGGUUGGUCCCUGAGAGCUUCGGCACUAUCUGCUUUGAUUCUUCCAUUCAGCCUGAAGAAAUUUCUUUUUUUUAAACUUUUUUUUUAUCGGUACCAGGGAUCGAACUCAUGACCACCUGGUUGCAAGGCAGGUACUUAUGCCACUGAGCUAAAUUGCCAGCCCCUAGCCUGAAGAAAUUUCCAUGAAGCAUGCUGGCACAACAGCAAAGACUGGCUACGGUGACUUUUCUUCCGAUAGCUUGUCCUGCGUCGUCAGGAUGUGCUUUUGUCUUGCUUUUUCCUCUUCAUUCAGCCCCAAGCUCACUCCGCAAAGAUAAUUUCUCACUCUUCACUUUGCCUUUUCAAAUAAAUUUGGCUACUGCUAAAAACAAAGCAAAACAAAACAAAACAAAACAAAAGCAAACAAAAAAACAGCAAAGACUAUGUGUAGGCCAUUUCCCUUUUACCUAGCAACAAUUUUCAAGCACAGUGUUCUCAAACCAUCCUCAGGCAACAUACACACACACUCACACACACACACACACAUGCACACACGUGCACACACACGCACACGCGUGCACACACACACAGUGCACACACAACGUUCUCCUGGGGGAGGAGAGAUCCCUGAAGAGAUUUGACUCUACCAAAGAAGUAUAGACACCCUGUUACAUUAUGAUAAGAAACAACUUUGCUAGAGCAUUUCCUGCUUAACAUUUUCAUAAUAUUAAUGAAACUGGCAGGUGGUUUGUCCAAGAAUAAAGGGAGAGUCCCAGUCUUCACUUAUUGCAAAACAGAAAACUGCUCUCAGCUUUCAAAGGCAGCUUUAAUAAGUUUGUUUCUUCAGUCUCUACCAUGCUCUGCCUUCUGGAAGGAGCCAGCUCCUCUUAAGCACUUAGUGAGGGUCUGCAAACAGCCUGGGUGCUGGCAGAGAGAGCUCCGUGACUCUCAGCUCGGCUCUAGGGAUCCCUGUGCCUGCCCUCUGCACCGCAGGGCCUCUUUUACCCAGAGUAACAACUAGGGGAAGUGCUUUGAUGAGAUGUGGGUACUUGUGCUCAAUCAUAAUUUAUAAAGACAAGGUAGAUCUCAUCUGUGUGCUGAGUAUGGCCUAAGCUAGGAACAAAAAUGAACAGGGUGAAAUAGGAUAUUCCACUUUAUUCAUUGCAAAGGAGCUAUCUGGUGAUCAGAACUUUAACCAUGUGCUCCAAGCUGGUCACUGACAGUGGAACACCUGACCCGUGGAUUCUGAUGGCAUGCCCCACUCAGGAUAAAGCAUUCCCCCGCCUUUUAUGGACUGGGAACCAAAUUCAGUGCCUCGCCCUUGCCAGGCAGACGCUGUGCUGCUGAGCUAUAUCCCUGGCCCAAGGCAUCACUUUUGAAAUAAUUUUUCCAAUAAUGUUUAAUCUGAACCACCCAACCUCUAGUAGACAGGAAACAUGAAUGAUAGAGAAACAAGUUCACCUGCGUCAUGCACACCAGCUGAGUCAAGCUGACUGGGUAGAACCUUGGCUGUGUUUACUAGCUGUAAAUCCAGGAGUGAUCUGGCUUUUCUGGGACUCAGUUUUCUCUCCUGUAAAGUGAGUCUAAUUCAAGUUCCUUCCUGAACAGUUCAGAUCUGGCCUUGCUGAGUAAUGAUGCAUUGGAAUAAGAAAUUAAGACAUCUGAGUUACAGCUCAGUGGUGGAGCACUUGCCUUAGCGUGCAUGAGUUUGAUCCCCAGCACCACCAAGAAAGAAAGAAAAACAUAAACAUGCACAAAAGGCAGUGUGAUAUUUGUGACAUUCUGUAAGAAAAAUGACCUGAAUUCUUCAGAAAGUCUCUAUCUAAAAUAAAAGGAAAAAAGUUGGGGGAUUGUUCUUUAUUAAAUGAGACUAAAGAAAAAUAACCUAAUGCAAUAUUAUUUAAGUCUUAAUUUGAAUCUAGUUGGAAAAAUGAAACAAAACCUAUAGAAAAAGAUACUUUUGGGAGCAACUUGAAUAUGAAGUGGAUAUUAAAUGAUGUUAGGAAACUGUAUUGUUAUUGAUAGUAUUAUUGUUCUUCCCUUUUUAAUCUAAUUUUCAUUGAAUCCAGUGUUCAAAAAUGCUAAGCAAGUGCUCUACUACUGAACUACAUCCCUAGCUCUUUUAAAGUUUUAUUUUGAGACACCUUCUAAGUCACUCAAAUUGGCCUUGGACUUGGAAUCCUUUUGCCUCAGCCUCCCAAGUAGCUGGGAUUACAGUUGUACAGCACUAUACCCGGCUGUAAAAGAUGUUCUUGUUUUGGGGAAAUGUUUUCUGAAAUAAUUUGUGGUCAGGUGUCUUGUACAAUUCAUUGUCAAGUUGUUCAGCAAAAUUUCAGAAAUCUUAACAAAUAAUGAAUACGAAUUAAGUCCUUCCUACUGUCCACUUCAACUUUUUGACACUUUUAGUAAAGAUUGAAGACAAAUAACAUUUUUCCUUCAAAUUUUCCUUUUAUUCUAUGUAUAGUCUUCAGUUUAUAAUAGUUUGGCUUACUUUUUGGACUUCUUGAUGGUGUGAAAGUGGCAUAUUUAGUAGAAACCGUACUCUGGCCCUGUGGGUUGAAGUGGCUGGGUUUGAACUUCUGUUCCUCCUACCUCAGCCUCCCAGGGGGCUGAGCUUACCGGGAUGUGCGGACACACCUGGCUUGCUGUUAUUAUCAAGAGGUACAUGCAGCAGUGGCGGGGACCAGUGUUCCAGGCAGCACUGGGGUUACAGUUCUCAGCCUAUCUACUUCUACCAUUUUUUUUUGUCUUUUUCCUUUUUAUCGGUACCAGGGAUCGAACUCACGACUGCCUGCUUUCAAGGCAGGCGCUUAUGCCGCUGAGCUAAAUCCCCAACCCCCUACUUCUACCAUUAACCAAGUGACUCUGGCUGAGUCUCCUAUAAUUUACUUUCUAUUACACACCUGUCACUGUGCUCAAGCUUUAUUUAUUUAUUUGUCAGAUUUUUUGAGACAAGGUCUCACUGUGUAGUUUAGGUUGGCCUUGAAAUAUGUAGCUCAUGCUGGCCAAACUCACAGUAAUCUUUCUGCCUCAGCCUCCCAAGUGAUAGGUUACAGGCAUGCACCACUGUGCAUAACCAUCAGAGAAGCCAAGGACCACAUAAGCCUUUCCUCAGAGAGCUGCUGAUCCAGUUGAGAGACAUCUUUCAACAGCUCCCAGUAAAACAAAGAGGAAGAAAAUCAGAAUCAUGGUUCCAGAAAGUUCCAUUAAUUCUGUCACAGGAUUAGGGAGGGGGAUUCGUAGAAAAGGCAGUUUUUGCUCCUCAGGAUUUUGAUAAGCAAGGAUGGAUGGUGUUCACAGAGAAUCCUAAUGACUAGGGAGGUUGCAUGGUUUUCUCAUGGUUGUAGACUGCUGUUCUAUAUUUGGUUUGGUCUCAGAAUUUGGCCUCUGAGCUUGACAUUCUUCUAUUUGAGGCACAAGAAAGGCUUCCUGUCUGUUGGCUGGGAAGGAAAGUGCUUGCUUAGUACUGGUGCCAACUCUGCUUUGAUUUGAGACCUGCACUGAUGGAUCUUUGAACAUGUGACCAUCCCAUUGCUAUUUGAUUCACGAAAAGUUGAAAAAGGAGAAAGAAAUUCUUAAGCCACAAAGCCCAGGAUACCGUUCCCACUCUUCUCCAUAUGGGGCAGCAGGUUCUGAAUCACAGCACGGCUAUGCUAAGAGGUGAAGGCACAGCUGUAAUUUUAAAAGUCAAACGCUAUCUUUGUUAUUAACUACAGGUUUAAUAAAUGCUGUCCAAUGAUUGACUCUA